AUUUAUGUAGUUUAUAAAAAACAUUACAUUUUCAUUGUAAAAAUAAUAAAUAUAUUCUUAAAUA
rnacentral:tRNA from 1 species